GCACGAGUUCAGACUCGUGGCGAAUAGCUCAGUAACACGUGGCCAAACUACCCUUCGGAACACAAUACCCUCGGGAAACUGAGGCUAAUAGUGUAUAACGUACCACCACUGGAAUGAGUGGUACGCUAAACGCUCCGGCGCCGAAGGAUGUGGCUGCGGCCGAUUAGGUAGACGGUGGGGUAACGGCCCACCGUGCCAAUAAUCGGUAUGGGUCAUGAGAGUGAGAACCCAGAGACGGAAUCUGAGACAAGAUUCCGGGCCCUACGGGGCGCAGCAGGCGCGAAACCUUUACACUGCACGACAGUGCGAUAGGGGGAUCCCAAGUGCACAGGCAUAGCGCCUGUGCUUUUCGGCACCCUAAGGCGGUGCCAGAAUAAGGGCUGGGCAAGACCGGUGCCAGCCGCCGCGGUAAUACCGGCAGCCCAAGUGAUGGCCGAUCUUAUUGGGCCUAAAGCGUCCGUAGCUGGCCGCGCAAGUCCAUCGGGAAAUCCACCUGCUCAACAGGUGGGCGCCCGGUAGAAACUGCGUGGCUUGGGACCGGAAGGCGCGACGGGUACGUCCGGGGUAGGAGUGAAAUCCCGUAAUCCUGGACGGACCGCCGAUGGCGAAAGCACGUCGCGAGAACGGAUCCGACAGUGAGGGACGAAAGCCAGGGUCUCGAACCGGAUUAGAUACCCGGGUAGUCCUGGCCGUAAACAAUGUCUGCUAGGUGUGGCUCCCACUACGAGUGGGUGCUGUGC
rnacentral:rRNA from 2 species